UUCCCUCCAUUUCCAGCCUGUGUGCCUAUCUAAAAGCCUCUUAAAUAUUAAAGCCUCUUAACUAUCGUAACUGCCUCCACUGGAGCCACUGGCAAUGUGAUCCAGGCCCCCACUUACUCUCUGUAAAGAAACUUGUCCCGCACACCUCCAUUAAACUUUCCCCCUCUCACCUUAUAGCUAUGCCGUCUAGGGUUGGACAUUUCUACCCCUGGUUCUUUCUAUGCCCAU